CAGUAGCCGCGGUAAUACGUAGGGUGCAAGCGUUAAUCGGAAUUACUGGGCGUAAAGCGUGCGCAGGCGGUCCGCUAAGACAGAUGCGAAAUCCCCGGGCUUAACCUGGGAACUGCAUUUGUGACUGGCGGGCUAGAGUAUGGCAGAGGGGGGUAGAAUUCCACGUGUAGCAGUGAAAUGCGUAGAGAUGUGGAAGAAUACCGAUGGCGAAGGCAGCCCCCUGGGCCAAUACUGACGCUCAUGCACGAAAGCGUGGGGAGCAAACAGGAUUAGAUACCCCAGUAGUCCCUGUCUCUUAUAC
rnacentral:rRNA from 1 species